rnacentral:rRNA from 1 species
UGCAGUCGUACGAGAACACUCUAGCUUGCUAGGGUAAGUAAAGUGGCGCACGGGUGAGUAACGCGUGGGUAAUCUACCUUCGAAUUGGGGAUAACGUUGCGAAAGCGACGCUAAUACCGAAUAAUAUCCAUUAAUCUUCGGGUUUUUGGAUCAAGGGUGGCCUCUACAUGUAAGCUACUGUUUGAAGAUGAGCCCGCGUACCAUUAGCUUGUUGGUGGGGUAAUGGCCUACCAAGGCUUCGAUGGUUAGCUGGUCUGAGAGGAUGAUCAGCCACACUGGAACUGACACACGGUCCAGACUCCUACGGGAGGCAGCAGUGAGGAAUUUUGCGCAAUGGGCGAAAGCCUGACGCAGCAACGCCGCGUGAGUGAUGAAGGCUUUCGGGUCGUAAAGCUCUGUCAAGUGGGAAGAACCUGCAGUAUGUUAAUACCAUAUUGCACUGACGGUACCACUGAAGGAAGCACCGGCUAACUCCGUG